UGGCUCUGAAGCCAUGGUUCUCAACCUGCGGGUCUCAACCCCUAUGGCAAACCUCUAUCUACAAAAAUAUCUACAUUAUGAUUCAUAACAGUAACAAAAUUACAGUUGUAAA